rnacentral:rRNA from 1 species
UACGGAGGGUGCGAGCGUUGUCCGGAAUCACUGGGCGUAAAGGGCGCGUAGGCGGCUCAUGAAGGCUGUGGUGAAAGUCCAGGGCUCAACCCUGGAAAGCGGGUGGAUACUGCCGGGCUAGAAUCCGGAAGAGGCGAGUGGAAUUCCUGGUGUAGCGGUGAAAUGACGCAGAUAUUAGGAAGAACACCGGUGGCGAAGGCGGCUUCCUGGAACGGUACUGACGCUGAGACGCGAAAGCGUGGGGAGCAAACAGG